rnacentral:tRNA from 1 species
GUUGUAGUUCAGUGGUAAAGCGCUUGCUUAACACAUGUGAGGCACUGGGUUCGAUCCCCAGCACAACA